rnacentral:rRNA from 1 species
CCUACGGGUGGCUGCAGUAGGGAAUUUUGCGCAAUGGGCGAAAGCCUGACGCAGCAACGCCGCGUGAUUGAUUAAGCCCUUCGGGGUGUAAAGAUCUGUCAGUGGGGACGAAACUUGACGGUACCCACAGAGGAAGCACCGGCUAACUCCGUGCCAGCAGCCGCGGUCAUACGGAGGGUGCACUCGUUAUCCGGAAUCAUUGGGCGUAAAUAGUUCAUAGGGGGCAUAUUAAGUCUGGUGUUAAAUGAAGAAGCUCAACUUCUGUUCGGAACUGGAUACUGGUAAGCUUGAAUGCUGUAGAGGUAAAGGGAAUUCCUGGUGUAGCGGUGAAAUGCGUAGAUAUCAGGAGGAAACUCGGUGGCGUAAGCGCUUUACUGGGCCGUAAUUGACACUGAGGAACGAAAGCCGGGGUAGCAAAUGGGAUUAGAUACCCCUGUAGUC